rnacentral:rRNA from 1 species
GACGAACGCUGGCGGCGUGCCUAACACAUGCAAGUCGUGCGAGAAAGUUCCUUCGGGAGCGAGUAAAGCGGCGCACGGGUGAGUAACACGUAGGUAACCUGCCCCCCAGUCUGGAACAACUAGAGGAAACUCUAGCUAAUGCCGGAUGAGACCACGAUCCCUUCGGGGGUUGCGGCCAAAGAUGGCCUCUACUUGUAAGCUAUCGCUGAGGGAUGGGCCUGCGGGCCAUUAGCUUGUUGGUGAGGUAACGGCUCACCAAGGCUGUGAUGGCUAGCUGGUCUGAGAGGAUGACCAGCCACACUGGGACUGAGACACGGCCCAGACUCCUACGGGAGGCAGCAGUGGGAAUAUUGCGCAAUGGGCGAAAGCCUGACGCAGCGACGCCGCGUGGGUGAUGAAGGCCUCGGUCGUAAGUCCUCGUCGCGAGGGAAGAAGUAAGAC